rnacentral:misc_RNA from 1 species
GGGUCAUCAUUAUUCUUCUGCUGUGCCAUAUUAUUCACAAGAUUCUUUCCAAGAACAUCACAAACUAAGCCGCGAUUCAGAUGUAUCUGAUCACAACCAACUCAAGCCAGAGAAAUCGGGUUACGAUUCCUCUCCCAGUGAUUCACCAACUGAACACAUAGCAGUCCCUCAUCAGCCCCAGAGGCUCCCAUCAAUGGACGAUGACCCAUACUUUUCAUACCCGAAUUUAUUUACAUCACAGAAACCAAAUCCAGGAUCUGAUCAUUCAUCAGCAUCAGCUGGUGGUUCCUGAUCUCCGCGAGGUUUGAGUUAUAUGCAAAAUGCCUUCUAGGCUUGAGGUUUCGUGAAUUGAUUUUUUGUUCAGCUUUCGUAAUAUGU